rnacentral:rRNA from 1 species
UACGUAGGGUGCAAGCGUUGUCCGGAUUUAUUGGGCGUAAAGAGCGUGUAGGCGGUUUGGUAGGUCCGCUGUGAAAACUCGGGGCUCAACCCCGAGCCUGCAGUCGAUACGGGCAGACUAGAGUGCUGUAGGGGAGACUGGAAUUCCUGGUGUAGCGGUGAAAUGCGCAGAUAUCAGGAGGAACACCGGUGGCGAAGGCGGGUCUCUGGGCAGUAACUGACGCUGAGGAGCGAAAGCGUGGGGAGCGAACAGG